rnacentral:rRNA from 1 species
GACGAACGCUGGCGGCGUGCUUAACACAUGCAAGUCGAACGGAAAGGCCCUGCUUUUGUGGGGUGCUCGAGUGGCGAACGGGUGAGUAACACGUGAGUAACCUGCCCUUGACUUUGGGAUAACUUCAGGAAACUGGGGCUAAUACCGGAUAGGAGCUCCUGCUGCACGGUGGGGGUUGGAAAGUUUCGGCGGUUGGGGCUGGACUCGCGGGUUAUCAGCUUGUUGGUGGGGUAGUGGCUUACGAAGGCUUUGACGGGUAGCCGGCCUGAGAGGGUGACCGGCGACAUUGGGACUGAGAUAGGGAGCAGACUCGUACGGGAGGCAGCAGUGGGGAAUAUUGCACAGUGGGCGGAAGCGUGAUGCAGCAACGCCGCGUGCGGGAUGACGGCCUUCGGGUUGUAAACCGAUUUGGCCUGUAACGAAGCGUGAGUGACGGUAAUGGGUAAAGAAGCACCGGCUAACUACGUG